UGGAAUGGUUUUUCACUCAAAGGGCUUUAGAAGCAUGCUUUCUAAUGUCGCCUGANGAUGGGGCCGCGUCCGAUCAGGUUGUUGGUGAGGUAACGGCUCACCAAGCCUAUAACCGGUACGGGCCGUGAGAGCGGUAGCCCGGAGAUGGGUACUGAGACAAGGACCCAGGCCCUACGGGGCGCAGCAGUCGCGAAAACUCCGCAAUGCACGAAAGUGUGACGGGGCUACCCCGAGUGCUCUCCGCUGAGGAAAGCUUUUCCCUGGUGUAACAAGCCGGGGGAAUAAGGAGAGGGCAAGACUGGUGUCAGCCGCCGCGGUAAUACCAGCUCUCCGAGUGGUAGGGAUGUUUAUUGGGCUUAAAGCGUCCGUAGCCGGCUUAGCAAGUCUCCUGUUAAAUUCAGCGACCUAAUCGUUGAGCCGCGGGAGAUACUACUAGGCUAGGAGGCGGGAGAGGUCAACGGUACUUCCGGGGGUAGGGGUGAAAUCCUAUAAUCCCGGGAGGACCACCAGUGGCGAAGGCUGUUGACUAGAACGCGCUCGACGGUUGAGGGACGAAAGCUGGGGGAGCAAACCNGAUUAGAUACCCGGGUAGUCCCAGCUGUAAACGAUGCGAGCUAGGUGUUGGGGUGGCUACGUG
rnacentral:rRNA from 1 species